AGCUCAUCCUCUUCAUCUUCUUCAUCCUCUGACAGUGAAGAUGAGACAAAGAAAAAGAAAAAGAAGAAGAAAAAGAAGAGCUCCAGCUCAUCUGAUGAAAGUUCCUCAUCUUCCUCAUCCUCUUCUUCCUCUGACAGUGAUGACAAG